GUGCUCACUUCAGCAGCACAUAUAUUAAAAUUGGCACGACACAGAGAUUAGCAUGGCCCCAGUGCAAAUAUGACACGCAAAUUCGUGAAGCUUUUUAUAUUGAA